rnacentral:rRNA from 1 species
GAUGAACGCUGGCGGCGUGCCUAAUACAUGCAAGUCGAGCGAACAGACGAGGAGCUUGCUCCUCUGACGUUAGCGGCGGACGGGUGAGUAACACGUGGAUAACCUACCUAUAAGACUGGGAUAACUUCGGGAAACCGGAGCUAAUACCGGAUAAUAUAUUGAACCGCAUGGUUCAAUAGUGAAAGACGGUUUUGCUGUCACUUAUAGAUGGAUCCGCGCCGCAUUAGCUAGUUGGUAAGGUAACGUCUUACCAAGGCAACGAUGCGUAGCCGACCUGAGAGGGUGAUCGGCCACACUGGAACUGAGACACGGUCCAGACUCCUACGGGAGGCAGCAGUAGGGAAUCUUCCGCAAAGGGCGAAAGCCUGACGGAGCAACGCCGCGUGAGUGAUGAAGGUCUUCGGAUCGUAAAACUCUGUUAUUAGGGAAGAACAAAUGUGUAAGUAACUAUGCACGUCUUGACGGUACCUAAUCAGAAAGCCACGGCUAACUACGUG